rnacentral:lncRNA from 1 species
GGCUGAUCCCGGCUCCGGAUCCAGGCCGCGCUUUGCAGCGCGCCGCGCGGGAGCGCAGCCUCCUCACCCGGAGCGGGAUCAACCAUUUUUCAUCCUCCCGGCGUGACAGACCCCUCCAGAGGAACCACUUUAGGCGCACACAAACAGCCGGCACAUUCCUGCAGCCCUCUCCGGAGCAUCCCACACCGCCCUGCUCCCCGCAUCCCGCUCCGCUCGCACCGGGGCGGGAACGCCGGCAUCCAUCAUCCCUGGGGAUGCUGCUGCUGCUGCAGCUCUUCCUACGGGCACUAAGUGGUACUCCAAGGUUGCUCUGCUGCUACUCAUCACAACUUACCACCCUGCAACUUCUUGUAAGGCUUCCUGUAAACAGGACGAGCUGUUUUGCAGCCACUGGUGCAAAGCCCACCAUCACCUGGUGGUCCUGCCAUCCCCCUUCCCCGCGGACAGACACACUACAGGAAUCUGCUUUAACAGCGGGAGCAGAGCAGGAUGCACAGGCUCCACAAACACCGGGCUCUGCAGGCUGGCAGCCUCUCCGAGGGCUGGGGAACAGGGCUUACACCCUCCGUUCGUCCCACACCGUUCCAGCACUGCAAACUGCUCCGUGACCCUCUGCCAAGGUCACCGAACCCAGAGGAUUGUGCCUGACAAAUGUCCUGCUGUCCCUCCAGUGUGGCCACACUGGAAAGUAGAACCAUGGAAUUCCUCCAUCUCAUGCAGCCAGGAAAAGGCACCUCUGCCAUUUCCCACGCAGGGUAAGCUCUCCACCAGAAUUUAAAGGUUCACAGUUCUCAGCAAUGAGAAUUUCUUUUCAAUCAGUGAAACACAGGUGUCUCAAACGCAUCCUCAGAAAGCCUCCAGCAAAGCUGGUGUGCUCAGAGGGAGUGCAGAGGGAGCUCUCUGAACGCUCCAUCCACUGAUGCCCACCCUGAAGAUGUUCUGGAGCUGAGUUUCACAUCCCCAGCACUCACUGCCUGCUCUCCAUCAACAACUGCAGCGGUGACCCC